rnacentral:rRNA from 1 species
GACGGAGGGGGCAAGCGUUGUCCGGAAUCACUGGGCGUAAAGCGCACGUAGGCGGGACGGUGCGUCGGUGCUGAAAGCGCCAGGCUUAACCUGGCGAGGCGUGCCGAUACGACCGACCUCGAGGCAGACAGAGGGUGGCGGAAUUCCGGGUGUAGUGGUGAAAUGCGUAGAGAUCCGGAGGAACGCCGGUGGCGAAAGCGGCCACCUGGGUCGCAACUGACGCUCAGACACGACAGCAUGGGGAGCGAACGGG